ACCUCAACCCUUGGUGACUCUGAAUAACUGAGCUAAUCGCAUGGCCUAUGCGCCGGCGAUAUAUCCUUCAAGCGUCUGCCUUAUCAACUGUAGAUGGUAGGUUAUGUGCCUACCAUGGUUGUAACAGGUGACGGGGAAUCAGGGUUCGAUUCCGGAGAGGGAGCCUGAGAAACGGCUACCACAUCCAAGGAAGGCAGCAGGCACGCAAAUUACCCACUCUCAGAACGAGGAGGUAGUGACGAAAAAUAACAAUACGGGACUAUUAAUAGGCCCCGUAAUUGGAAUGAGUACAAUAUAAAUCCUUUAACGAGGAUCUAUUGGAGGGCAAGUCUGGUGCCAGCAGCCGCGGUAAUUCCAGCUCCAAUAGCGUAUAUUAAAGUUGCUGCGUUUAAAAAGCUCGUAGUUGUAUCUCAGUUCAUGUCAAAAGGUCAAGCACUUAUUAGUGAUUACUUUUUGACUGAACAUUA
rnacentral:rRNA from 1 species